rnacentral:rRNA from 1 species
CAGUCGAACGAAGCACUUUGAUCGAUUUCUUCGGAUUGAAAUUUUAGUGACUGAGUUGCGGACGGGUGAGUAACGCGUGGGUAACCUGCCUCACACAGGGGGAUAACAGUUGGAAACGGCUGCUAAUACCGCAUAAGCGCACAGUACCGCAUGGUACAGUGUGAAAAACUCCGGUGGUGUGAGAUGGACCCGCGUCUGAUUAGCUAGUUGGCAGGGUAACGGCCUACCAAGGCGACGAUCAGUAGCCGACCUGAGAGGGUGACCGGCCACAUUGGGACUGAGACACGGCCCAAACUCCUACGGGAGGCAGCAGUGGGGAAUAUUGCACAAUGGGGGAAACCCUGAUGCAGCGACGCCGCGUGAGCGAAGAAGUAUUUCGGUAUGUAAAGCUCUAUCAGCAGGGAAGAAGAAAUGACGGUACCUGACUAAGAAGCACCGGCUAAAUACGUGCCAGCAGCCGCGGUAAUACGUAUGGUGCAAGCGUUAUCCGGAUUUACUGGGUGUAAAGGGAGCGCAGGCGGAAGGCUAAGUCUGAUGUGAAAGCCCGGGGCUCAACCCCGGUACUGCAUUGGAAACUGGUCAUCUAGAGUGUCGGAGGGGUAAGUGGAAUUCCUAGUGUAGCGGUGAAAUGCGUAGAUAUUAGGAGGAACACCAGUGGCGAAGGCGGCUUACUGGACGAUAACUGACGCUGAGGCUCGAAAGCGUGGGGAGCAAACAGGAUUAGAUACCCUGGUAGUCCACGCCGUANACGAUGAAUACUAGGUGUCGGGAANCACAGCUUUUCGGUGCCGCCGCAAACGCAUU